rnacentral:lncRNA from 7 species
GGAAAGGCUGACACCAAGUGAGCUGCGUCCUUGCAUCAUCUUGUUUUUGCUUUAAUAGUCGUGACUCCACCUCAGAAUAUUCCUGCAGCUUCAGGUCAGCUCGCAGGGAGCUGUUGGGUCUCUUCUCCAUGAAACAGAGCUGGAAAGGUGUUUCUGUGCUGAAAACUAUGUCUUGGGUUAACUGCAGUUAAAGAGGAAGAAAGUUGCCAGGAGGAAUGACAUCAUGCACAUCUGUAUAUAGCUGCAAGAGGAAGGUGAAGGUCGGGGAGGAAGGCUCACACCUCCGCACUGGUGGGCUGACACCAGGCACCCACCUCCACCAGACGUGGCUGGAAAGCUGUGCCUGCAUGGAAACUCCUGGAGGUGGUUCUGAGUCGCCCAGACCAAAUGCAAACAGCCAGAACAACAAAAAAGUGAGGAUUACAGCAGCUGGAUUUAUUCUUUUCUGACUUUUUUUCCUUUUAAUUAUUUUAUUUAUUUUUUUUUUUAAGAAAAAAAAUCUAUAUCCAAAUAUGUUUUCGAGUUGAAACAAAGUCAGGAUCUACUGUAUGUCUGUGUGCCCUCAAGUCUGUAGGAGCAGCUCUCACCAGUUGCACCCAGCUGGAGGAUGGGAGCCUGGCAGGCUACCACCUUCCCUUCCCAGCAGCCAUGGGAGCCCAUGGAAAGCAGAGCAUAAAUUCAAACCAUUUAAAGAGUGAUUAAGACUUCUCCUGAUUACUGCUCUGCAUGGUAUUGAAUGGUUUGGAUGGUGGUGAUUUAUUGAAGUAAUAUAUAAUAUGCUCCGUUCGGUUAAAGGUCCCCAUCAAGCACAAUCCAGAUGAAUAAAAAAGUAAAAAGAGGGAGAGAGUGUGCUGUAAGAGGAAAUCUCCUUGGAUUUAAGAGAAAUUGAAAUAUGUACAUG